rnacentral:misc_RNA from 1 species
AACUUUCGGCAAUGGAUCUCUUGGUUCUGGCAUCGAUGAAUAACGCAGCGAAAUGCGAUAAGUAAUGUUAAUUGCAGAAUUCAGUGAAUCAUCGAAUCUUUGAACGCACAUUGCGCCCGCCAGCAUUCUGGCGGGCAUGCCUGUUCGAGCGUCAUUUCAACCCUCGAGCUCCCUUUGGGGAGCCCGGCGUUGGGGACCGGCAGCUACCGCCGACCCCGAAAUACAGUGGCGGCCCGUCACGGCGACCUCUGCGUAGUAAUCCAACCUCGCACCGGGAACCCGACGCGGCCAUGCCGUAAAACACCCCAAGUCUGAACGUUGACCUCGGAUCAGGUAGGAAUACCCGCUGAACUUAAGCCUAUCAAUAAGCGGAGGCU